rnacentral:rRNA from 1 species
CUACGGGUGGCAGCAGUGGGGAAUAUUGCACAAUGGAGGAAACUCUGAUGCAGCAACGCCGCGUGGAGGAUGACACUUUUCGGAGCGUAAACUCCUUUUAUAUGGGAAGAAGAUGACGGUACUAUAUGAAUAAGCGCCGGCUAACUCCGUGCCAGCAGCCGCGGUAAUACGGAGGGCGCAAGCGUUACUCGGAAUCACUGGGCGUAAAGAGCGUGUAGGCGGAUUAAAAAGUCAGAAGUGAAAUCCUAUAGCUUAACUACAGAACUGCUUCUGAAACUCUUAAUCUAGAAUAUGGGAGAGGUAGAUGGAAUUUCUGGUGUAGGGGUAAAAUCCGUAGAGAUCAGAAGGAAUACCGAUUGCGAAGGCGAUCUACUAGAACAUUAUUGACGCUGAGACGCGAAAGCGUGGGGAGCAAACAGGAUUAGAUACCCUCGUAGUC